AUGGAGCCAUCGCUGCAACCUCCGAGCAGUUCCGUUUUCUCUGGAUCAUCAAUAUUGCCGAAAGCGGGCCACACAAGUAAAUGUGUUGGGCCACAAGUGCCACCAUGUAUUGAGCGUAUUAUGCAUGAGGUUUUAGGCAUGCAGAGUAGCCAAACAAAAAUUCCUGAGAUUGGGGCUUUACAUCCACCAUAUGUGGAUGUGGAUUCUGCGCAUGCUGAUACAAGUACGCUCAACAUGCAUAAAGUACCUGCGGCUUGCCACAUAGCUGGAAACACCACAAAUCGCCGCCCUAAAAUUGUUCCUGGAGUAGCAGGUUUGCAUCCUCCGAGUCAUAAGUAG
rnacentral:rRNA from 1 species